rnacentral:rRNA from 1 species
CACGUAGGGCGCAAGCGUUGUCCGGAAUUAUUGGGCGUAAAGAGCUCGUAGGCGGUCUGUUGCGUCCGCUGUGAAAACUCGGGGCUUAACCCCGAGCCUGCAGUGGAUACGGGCAGACUAGAGGUAGGUAGGGGAGAAUGGAAUUCCCGGUGUAGCGGUGAAAUGCGCAGAUAUCGGGAGGAACACCAGUGGCGAAGGCGGCGAUCUGGGAAGAGUACUGACGCUGAGGUGCGAAAGCGUGGGGAGCAAACAGG